UAGUAAAAAAUCCUUCCAUUUGUACUAUUAAAGUCUUGGGAGCCUAACCGAGUAACCAAACAAUGAUAAAUAGCUCACCGUAUGUACUUCAUUAUGAUAUACAAAGACUAAUUUUUAAUAGUAGAAAUGGAUAAUUUUUUUAACA
rnacentral:pre_miRNA from 1 species